rnacentral:rRNA from 1 species
UAAGUAAGCGGAGGAUAAGAAACUAAAUAGGAUUCCCUUAGUAAUGGCGAAUGAACAGGGAUAAGCUCAGCAUGGAAAUUGGGGCCUCUGGCCUUGAAUUGUAGUCUUGAGAUGUGCUGCCAACGGAGGCGCAGAUGUAAGCCUCUUGGAAAAGAGCAUCAGGGAGGGUGAGAGUCCCGUAUGUCAUCUGCAGAUCUCUGUGCACGGUGCGCUUUCUAAGAGUCACGUUCCUCGGGAUUGGAGCGCAAAUUGGGUGGUAAAUUUCAUCUAAAGCUAAAUAUUGGUUCG